AUACAACUAAUAAAUUAUUUGCUACCUAAGUUUUAAAUUAGUGAAGAAAUUUUUAGAACAAAUACCGCAACGAAAUCUGAUUGUGAUUUAAAUCUAACUAAAUUUUAUUAUAAAUACAACUUACAGAUAAUUGCUAUAUCCAAAUAAAUAUUUAAUUGAUCCGGAAGCGUGCGAGGCACUGCCCUAAGGCGUAUUUCCGUCCUUAUGUGCGGGAUUAACCGGGAACAACACCCCAAGGUACGACCGGAAUUUCUCCUCCUGCGAGCACGAUCGUGAAGAAGGUUGACGAAGACUCUUUCAACACCCGAUGACAAAAAGAUCAAAGCCAAAUAGAUAAAAAUAAUAGAUAGAAAAAUAUAUGUCCUCCAAUGUUUCUCUUUGCAAUGUUUUAUGUCAUGAACAGUAGAAAGAGUACUAUAUAAAAGGGUGUGAAUAGAACAUUGGAUACCCUAACAUUCUACUCCAAUAAUUAAUUCCAUUUAAUUCAUGCUUUAAUGUGAAAUAAAGGAGGAAUAAAUUAAAUUUAAUCCAUCCAAUUAAUUAACAUAAUAAAAGACAAUAAAUGAGAAUAAUUAUAAAACUAAAUGAGAUUUGGAGAUUUUGGAUUUUACACCAACAAUUCCCCACAAAAUUCAAAAUCACAAAAUCAAAAUUAAACAAAUAAAUAAAUGAAUCAUCGGGUAUUUAUACUAUGCAAUAGGCGAGGUGUCUUUAAAAGACUUAACCCCACUUAGUGUAAAUAGUUUCCAUCAGAAGGAAUCGGAGUGAAUCAGGUCUUGAACUACGUUCCUUUGGCCCUGACUUCUACUACCACACACACAGUACAGAAUUCUCCGUCGCGGGUCUGUGCGUUAAUGGCCAUGCACAGUACCUUGAUUUUUCAUAAGAGUUUCUAUGUAUAGCCCAUUCACAUAGCCGCGGCCACAUACGGAUACUCUUAUAUAGGUGGUUCCCUCUUGGGAUGUUGAUAUAGAGUCCAUCUCGCGAAAAUCAUCACCUUGAGAUCCCAUUAAAAAGCUCUACAGUCAAUCUAUACACUUAACAGAGCACUCUCACCAUAGGCGAUGGGAUUGGAGCUAAAGACUCCUAUUAUAAAAUUUAUAGAAGUGCUCUUGGCCAACCCUGACAGCUUCGUUAUUUAACACAUGAACUUUAUCAAGGAUCUCUAUCACAAGUUGGCGGUUCCACUGGCAGGAAGGCCUUUACCGGGCAGAGUCCCUCCCCUCGUUGACCCAGGACCUUAGUCCUAUAUUCAGGGCCGUUCGUAAAAUAAUCUGCAAAUUUGUUUCAGAUUGAUAACAAAAUCAAAUAAAGUAAUAUUAAUGAAAAUAACCAUCUAUAAAAUUUAUGUCUCAAAAAAAUAUUUACCUGCCAAUUUUAGAAUUGCAAAAUUCGUUUUCCAAGUGAACACUAUGGAUAAAUCACUGAGGAGAGCCAUUAUAUAUCAAAAUUAUCAAACUGAUAAAGAGUAAUCCCCACAAGUUUUGCCGAUAUAUCAAAUUAAAUCAUGAGGUUAAUCAUGUUAAUGGGUUUGGGGUUCAACAGGCAAAUAGAUGGCCUAAUAAUUUUUUAAAUUUAUCUCAAUUAGAUCUUUUCAUUACAAAUAUAAUGAAACAAUAUCGAUCAACAAAAGAUGAUUACGAUAAAGUAGCCCGUUGCUGUUGGUUAGCACGACUUUGUUCAAGACUGUGCUUUAAACAUAACUGUUGGGUUUUCAAAUCCAAUAUUGAAACAUAACAGAUGUGACAGUUAGGGGAUAAAUCAAGCUUUAAAGAAAUCUACCUUUUUUUUUUUUUUUUAAGUCAAAACAUAGUAUAAUGUAUUUGCCACUAAAAAAAAACUUUCUUUACAUGUAGUAUUUUUUUUCAAUCGUAGAACCGUCUAUAAACAAAUACUGUAGCAUUAUAUAUCAUUUUUACCAAAGAAUUUAUGUAGCAAAACUCUAAAGAUCAGCUAAUAUAAUUAUUUUUUACUUUAUCAAUUUUUUUUUUUUAAAUAUCACCAUAAUAAAUUAUAAAUCUUAACAGUUAAAUUAAAUAAUUAUACAAUACAUGUUCAAGUGCUAAUCUCCAGGAAAAUUUAUGUUUGAUUGCCAUUCAUAGAAACUUACAAACAAAAUUAUAUAAUUAUAAAUUAACUAAUUAUAAUACGGACAUUAGCAGCCGUUAGAUUUCAGAUGCACAAUCAAAAGUCGAGAUCAGCCUUAGAUUGUCUAGAAACAAUACCGACGAAUUUGAUUGUGUAUUUAAAUCUAACUAAAUUUUAUUUAAAUACAACUGUUACAGAUAAUUGGCUUUAUCCAAAUAAAUACUUAUUGAUCUGAAGUAGUGCGGAGCACUAGCCUAGAGGCGUAUUUCCUGUCCUUACGUGCUGGGGAUUAACCGGGAACACACCCAACGGGUACGACGGAAUCAUACCUCUGCGAUGCACGAUGUGAAGAAGGUUGACGAAGACUCUUUCAACACCCGAUGACAAAAAGAUCAAAGCCAAAUAGAUAAAAAUAAUAGAUAGAAAAAUAUAUGUCCUCCAAUGUUUCUCUUUGCAAUGUUUUAUGUCAUGAACAGUAGAAAGAGUACUAUAUAAAAGGGUGUGAAUAGAACAUUGGAUACCCCAACAUUCUACUCCAAUAAUUAAUUCCAUUUAAUUCAUGCUUUAAUAUGAAAUAAAGGAGGAAUAAAUUAAAUUUAAUCCAUCCAAUUAAUUAACAUAAUAAAAGACAAUAAAUGAGAAUAAUUAUAAAACUAAAUGAGAUUUGGAGAUUUUGGAUUUUACACCAACAGAAAUCAGAAGCACAAAAAAUAAGACUAAUCAAAAGACAUUCGAAAUCAAAAUAAAUAUUUUUUAUACUGUAAAAAAAUUCAACUACCAAAUAACUAAUCUAAUAAUAUUCUUAUAUUAUUAUAUAAACU
rnacentral:lncRNA from 1 species